GGACCAGGGCUGUGUCCACCAUGGCCUGGGCUGCUGUCCUCCUCAUGAUCCUCUCUCACUGCUCAGGUUCCCUCUCCCAGCCUGUGCUGACUCAGCCGCCCUCCCUCUCUGCAUCCCUGGGGGCAUCAGUGAGACUCACCUGCACCCUGAGCAGUGGCUUCAGGGUUGGGGACUUUGCUAUACGUUGGUAUCAGCAGAAGCCAGGGAGCCCUCCCCGGUACCUCCUGUCCUACUACUCAGACUCAGACAAGCACCAGGGCUCCGGGGUCCCCAGCCGCUUCUCUGGAUCCAAAGACGCCUCCGCCAAUGCAGGGAUCCUGCACAUCUCUGGGCUGCAGGCUGAGGACGAGGCUGACUACUACAGUCUGAUAUGGCAUGACAGCUCUAAGACUCACACAGUGCUCCAGCCACAUGGGGAAGUGAGACAAAAACACCCCUAUUCUCUUGGCCUGGUGCAGGACCCCUUGGUGGUGACUGUGACCAUGUCCAGCUCAGGGAUGACGUCUCCAGUGAUUGUCCUCAGGGCGCAGACCUGA